ACCUCGCGCUAAAAUGAUUUGUCCUUUCGUGACGUCACCGAUAGUGGGAGGUGGGGCACAACAAGUAAGUCUUCAGUCGUCAUCAAGGCGGUUCUUGUCGAGAGGACAUUGAAUAUCCGAGGAGAGUCCAGCAAAGCCUAAGAGCUCAGAAAAAUACAAGAAGUCCUUCAGGAGGAAGCUGGAGUUCAAGCUUCAGCAGAACACCACAGGGGAUGUGUGGAGUAGAAUGAAGAAAAUCACUGGGUUUAAAGUGACAACCGGUGGGCAGCCCGGAGAUAGGAAAUGAGCUGAACAGUUUCUUCAUUCACAGCCCAUAUCCACAUGGGUCACGGAAAGACUGGCCCUGGCCCACCUGAGACAGGUUGCAGAAGAUUGCUGCUCCUCCCUGAGCCUGGUUCUGCUGGAGAUCUCUUCCUGUUAAAAGGCGGUGUGGCCUUUUCAUUCUCGCCAAAGCGCUUACUCACAGUGGGUCAUAUGAUUGUUCUCAUUUUCUCUGUAUUA